GAGAGGGGAGGUGGGAAACCCACUGCUGCCACUUGGCCCUGGGCCAAGUACAGCAGUGGUGGAUCAGGAGGUGGAGGACAAGGAUCAGGAGGAGGAAAGACAGCGAGGGCCAAGGUCCAGAAAGAGGGACAGAGAGGAAGACAUGUUCCAGAGUCGCUCACUAUCUUCCGAAAAGGACUCAAGAUUCACCUGUUCAGAGUCCACCUCGACUGCAUAGCCACCCUCCCCCUUCUGGCCACCAUUGUACACUGUGUUGUAUUGUAUUAUAGUACUUAACUGUGUAGCAACUGCAGUAGCUGCUAUCAUGGCUGUAACACGGGGAAUGGGUUAGCCUAGCGAUUGUGGUACUUGCACUUGGUUCUAUGAACAUCCUUUCUGUACCGACAGCGAUAUAUUGAUGCACUUCUUGUGACAAAUGUACUUAUUGUAAGUCGCUUUGGAUAAAAGCGUCUGCUAAAUGCCCUAAAUGUAAAUGUAAGAUGUAAAUGUUCCAGUUAAUAAAAGAGGACAUGAGGCUACAAAGGGG
ensembl:lncRNA